UUUACCUUGAAAAUUGUUAUGUAUAAAUCUUUUUUUUUUUUUGGCAACUGGUCAUUUCAACUAAAAUUCAUCAAGUGGGUAUUUACAAAGUUAUAAGGUAUUGAAAUUGUCCUUUUUUACGGGUGUGAGGGGUAUGUAGAAACUUUAUACAUUUUUUUUUUAUAAAAACAUAAACUCAAAAGUAGCCUAUCAAUUUUGUAUUACAAAUGUAGAGAGAAUUCAACUUUGAAAACAAGACGAUAUUCAUUGAACUUUCAGAAUUUGCCAUUCUUUUGAGUAUGUUUUUUGCCACAUAAGAUAUUUUAAAAAUACAUAAAUAGUACUGCUAGAAAGUGGCACAUUAAGUUUGCAGGAAUAGAUCUUACUUUUGCACUAAAGAAAUUCUUAAUGGUCUAAAAGGCAUUACGUUUGCACGAAAUUAACCUGUUGAAAAGUCACUACUUUUGCACAGAUUGAGCUAAAAACGAAAAUGUAUAUCUUCAAGACAAAUAAAGGACAAAAUCCUUCAUUUUUUAAUGAUAUACUUUACAUUUGGAUUCUAAGUUGAAAAACGGAGAUAUUUCCUGGAAAUGCACAAAAAAAAUGGCAAAUUUGUAGAAUUUGGGCUGACCGAGAAUGCAAAGUAUAACUAACAGGAACAAAUGUACAUAACCAUGAUAUUGAUAAACGCAAAUUAGAAACCCAGAAAAUUGGAAAGAAAAUGAUAAGAAUGCUUCAGACAUUUCCACUUGUCUGUCAAAAAUUAUUUGUUAAAAACUUCAGGCAAAUGGUGCUUCUGCCACAAAACUUAAUGUGUUCUAAUAAUCAUAUUCAUGUAUACUGUGUUUUAUUCAUGACUGUAUCCUAUGAAUGUUCCAUUCCCGGAUAUUAACAGUAUUUCAGUCAUUAAUCUCAUAAGAUAACUCAUUAUCCUCCAAAAAAAAAACCAAGUAAAAUUCAGGUUAUUCUUCUCAGGAUUAAAAACUUCUUGCAAACGUUAAACUAUUUCUUUGCACAAACAUAAAGCUUGUGAUAUUCUAAUUCACACAAAUGUAGG
rnacentral:lncRNA from 1 species